GUGCUGUCUUCACCAGCACUUAUACUAAAAUUGAAACAAUACAGGGAAGCAAUAUAGGAGCAUGGCACCUGAACAAGAAUGGCAUGAGAUCCAUGAAGCAUUCCAUAUUUCA